rnacentral:rRNA from 1 species
UACGUAGGGGGCUAGCGUUGUCCGGAAUCAUUGGGCGUAAAGAGCGCGUAGGCGGCUAGAUAAGUCCGGUGUGAAAGUCACAGGCUCAACCUGUGAAUGCCGCUGGAAACUGUCUGGCUAGAGUCCGGGAAGGGGCGAGUGGAAUUCCUGGUGUAGCGGUGAAAUGCGCAGAUAUCAGGAGAACACCCGUGGCGAAGGCGGUUCUCUGGGACGGUACUGACGCUGGAGACGCGAAAGCGUGGGGAGCGAACAGG